AUUGAACGCUGGCGGCAUGCCUAACACAUGCAAGUCGAACGGAGGUAGGGGCAACUCUACUUCAGUGGCGGACGGGUGAGGAAUGCGUCGGAAUCUACCCUAUGGUGGGGGAUAACACAGGGAAACUUGUGCUAAUACCGCAUAAUGUCGAGAGACCAAAGCAGGGGACCGCAAGGCCUUGCGCGAUAGGAUGAGCCGACGCCCGAUUAGCUUGUUGGUAGGGUAAUGGCCUACCAAGGCGACGAUCGGUAGCUGGUCUGAGAGGAUGAUCAGCCACACUGGGACUGAGACACGGCCCAGACUCCUACGGGAGGCAGCAGUGGGGAAUAUUGGACAAUGGGCGCAAGCCUGAUCCAGCAAUGCCGCGUGUGUGAAGAAGGCCUGCGGGUUGUAAAGCACUUUUGUUCGGGAAGAAAUCAUGCUGGUUAAUACCUGGUAUGGAUGACGGUACCGAAAGAAUAAGCACCGGCUAACUUCGUG
rnacentral:rRNA from 1 species